AUUGAACGCUGGCGGCAGGCCUAACACAUGCAAGUCGAGCGGAUGAGGGGAGCUUGCUCCUGGAUUCAGCGGCGGACGGGUGAGUAAUGCCUAGGAAUCUGCCUGGUAGUGGGGGAUAACGUCCGGAAACGGGCGCUAAUACCGCAUACGUCCUGAGGGAGAAGGUGGGGGAUCUUCGGACCUCACGCUAUCAGAUGAGCCUAGGUCGGAUUAGCUAGUUGGUGGGGUAAAGGCCUACCAAGGCGACGAUCCGUAACUGGUCUGAGAGGAUGAUCAGUCACACUGGAACUGAGACACGGUCCAGACUCCUACGGGAGGCAGCAGUGGGGAAUAUUGGACAAUGGGCGAAAGCCUGAUCCAGCCAUGCCGCGUGUGUGAAGAAGGUCUUCGGAUUGUAAAGCACUUUAAGUUGGGAGGAAGGGCAGUAAGUUAAUACCUUGCUGUUUUGACGUUACCAACAGAAUAAGCACCGGCUAACUUCGUG
rnacentral:rRNA from 1 species